UACAGAGGUCCCCAACCGUUGUUCGGAUUCAUUGGGCGUAAAGGGUGCGUAGGCGGUCGCGCAAGUCGGAUGUGAAAUCUUAGGGCUCAACCCUGAAACUGCAUUCGAUACUGCGUGGCUAGAGUACUGGAGAGGAGACUGGAAUUUACGGUGUAGCAGUGAAAUGCGUAGAUAUCGUAAGGAAGACCAGUGGCGAAGGCGAGUCUCUGGACAGUUACUGACGCUGAGGCACGAAGGCCAGGGGAGCAAACGGGAUUAGAAACCCCGU
rnacentral:rRNA from 1 species